AUGACCAGGAUCGUAUGUCUACACGGAGUUCCGAGGACCAUCAUAUCAGAUAGAGGAACACAAUUUACUUCAAAGUUUUGGCACCAGCUGCACCAGACUUUGGGUACGAGGCUAGAGUUCAGUACAACAUUUCAUCCGCAGACAGAUGGACAGACCGAGAGAGUCAACCAGAUUCUGGAGGAUAUGUGGAGAGCUUGUGCGCUAGAUUAUGGAUAUAGUUGGGAUGACAAUUUUCCCUACGCGGAGUUCUCAUACAACAAUAGCUAUCAGGCCAGUUUGAAGAUGACACCGUUCGAAGCCCUGUAUGGACGAAGGUGCAGAACACCGUUGAUGUGGGAUGAAGUGGGAGACCGACAGUUGUUUGGACCAGAUUUGAUCAAAGAGUCUAAAGAGAAGGUUAAGUUGAUUCGAGACAGACUGAAGGUAGCCCAGUCCAGGCAGAAGAGUUAUGCAGAUUCGAAACGCAAGGAGGUAGCCUAUGAAAUCGGAGACAGAGCAUAUCUUCGUGUAUCACCACUCCGAGGGGUGAAACGUUUUGGAGUUAAGGGAAAGUUAGCCCCGAGAUUUGUAGGGCCAUACCGAGUUCUGGAACGUAUGGGAGAGGUUGCCUAA
rnacentral:rRNA from 1 species